CCUACGGGAGGCUGCAGUGAGGAAUAUUGGUCAAUGGUCGGGAGUCUGAACCAGCCAAGUAGCGUGAAGGAUGACUGCACAGUGGAUUGUAAACUUCUUUUGUCAGGGAAUAAAACGAGGCACGUGUGCCUUUUUGCAUGUACUUUAUGAAUAAGGAUCGGCUAACUCCGUGCCAGCAGCCGCGGUAAUACGGAGGAUCCGAGCGUUAUCCGGAUUUAUUGGGUUUAAAGGGAGCGUAGAUGGGUUGUUAAGUCAGUUGUGAAAGUUUGCGGCUCAACCGUGAACGUGCAAUUGAUACUGGCAGUCUCGAGUAGAGUAGAGGUAAGCGGAAUGCGUGGUGUAGCGGUGAAAUGCUUAGAUAUCACGAAGAACUCCGAUUGCGAAGGCAGCUUACCAA
rnacentral:rRNA from 1 species